GCUCCGGUUCGGCGACGGGUUCGGGUUCCGGCGCGGGCUCGGGUUCCGCGGUCGGCUCGGCCGUGGGCUCCGCCGGCGGUUCAGCCGUCGGCUCUGCGGUG
rnacentral:tRNA from 1 species